GACCCACUUCAAUCUGAUUGCCAGCCGCAUUUAGGCACCGAGACUGUCCAAGGGGAGACUGCCCUGAGGGAUGACCAAUUCUGGAAGAAGGAUAGGGGAAGGGCAACCCUGUUAAUUCUCUUGGGCCUCUCAACCACUGUUUCCUUCAAUGGUUGGGCCUAUUGCGUUUCAGUGAAUCCAUUCCUGCUAGGAUGGCGAUUCCAAGAAACUGUGCUGAGAGACUAAGGUUUGCCCUUGUAGUAUCUAUGUUAGGAGGGUUCUAUCCUUUCUCCAAUGAGUUUAAAUAUUUACAUGAAAUGGGCUGGGACCAGAUCUUUACCUUUGCCACCCCCAUGGGCCAACAUUGGCAGGUGGGUUGUCCUGUCUACCUGUCAAAGUUGGCCGGCAGGGUUGGGGAAGAUAGUCCCCAAACACCUGCAUUUCAGACCUGUUUUCAGCUGAUGUGCGGGGAGUUUAAUCGUACUUUCUGCAGCUGUGUCUUUAUCUACUCCACACCUGACAUUCUAUAUAUCAUCAGGUGUGGGAAAAGUGGGUGGGGCUUGGGAGAAAUGGUCUGGUGGGCCAAGUUUGGUCUACAGGCCAGAGGCUCCCUAACCCAGCCAUAAAACCAUGAUAUGAGACCAUUUGGAGUGAAGUGUAAUCAGCACACUGUUGAUAUUCAUCUAUGCUUCUCCAUAGCAUAGUUCAACUUUUUUUCUGAUCAGAACUGUAUGCCCCCUAAAGGAUCAUGUUUGCAGUUUGGGGAUUCUGAUAGAUGGAGUAGAUGGAGACUGGUUUGGUGUAAUUCUGUAAGUAAAACAUUCAAUGGUUGAGUAAAGCUAAGUGUCUGUGAUUUAUUCUAGCCUAAGUAUUUUAUAGGGAAUGUUUGCUUAAAGAUGGGUGAGGGCAAAAUUAAAUCUAAUCAAAUUCAAAUGGGUUUGCAGCAAUCACCACUUUAACUCUGCUGUGAGAGAGUACGAAAUCUCUCUUUCCAGCAGUGUAUCCUUUAAUUAGACUUAGACUGGGCAGCUCUUCAAAUAGAGGACACUCCUUUGUGAAGCAGGGGCACACAGUCACACUCUCUGUGGGUGGAGUUGUGUUUCUUUCAGAUCACCUCUAGUCUUGAUGCUAUCACUUCCCCUCUUAUGUAACAGCUCUCUUAAUAAAACUUGCCAAUUAAAUCUAGACAGCUGCAGGUUGUGUUCAAAACGGACACUUGCUCUCACAUAUAUUCCAAACUACAAGGGGGUUUCAGCACAGUAUGAACUGAAAAAAAGCACUGUUGUGCUCCAGCAUGUACAAUUUUCCAUUGAGUGUCACUCUGAGACCUCUAAAAAGCUCUAAACCUGGAAUGAUCCUCAGAGUAUUUUACAAGGCAAUUGGCAUUUAAUUAGCCUUGCCAAAUGCCCAAAGGGUAUAUUUAACUCAUUUUUUUUCAACCCAAUGCCAUACUAUAUCUGAAAAUAUGUGUAUUAGUGUUUAUAUCACCAUCUCACUUUUUAGUGGCUCAUGUAGAAUAAUACUAUAUAAAGAGGAGCAAUUUGAUGGCAAUAAACGGCAAAGCACUCAGAUGAGAGCACUCUUUAAAAAUGUCACUUAAGGACGGUUAUUAAGAAUAGCAAGAGAUUGCCUAGCGCUUGCUAUUCCUAGAAGUACAUUUCAUUCAGAUGCUGCAAGUAUUGUGUUGAUACCAGUUUAUGUGAGCAGCUGAAAAAUGAAAGGAUAAAAAUUCAUAUUAAAUAUUUGAAAUAUGCAAUACACUUUGAAGAGCAGUAUUGGUAUAAUGAAUGAUGGAGGGGGGGGUAAAAUCCGAUCAGUUAGGGCUAUGCACAUAAUUUCUGAUGAGAUCUGUUGCAUAAAGCACCAAACUGAUCUUUUCAGCUGAGCAGUUUUUGACCUUUUACUGGGGGCGGGAGGGGGUGAUGGGGGGGAAAGAGAAGAGAAAAUGCCCUAACAAUUGGGUUGAGGCAGGAUAAAUUUGUAUGUAAAUAUGUAGUUUUGUUACUGAUUGUCGUAGCUCUGGACAAGGAGAUGACCUCACAUGGGCUCUCCAGUUGUGGUGCAUUGAGAAGGGACAAUCAGAAUGCUCUUUUUCAAGUUGACUCCCAUAGGAGUGGUUGACUCCCCUGGAAUGGGUAAUGUUGAAAGAGUUGUGGUACUGGCAGAUUUUUGCUUGUGGACUCUUCCAAUCCAGACCAAUCCUCUCCUAAAACCCAGCCCCCUUCUUAUUGUGGGAUGUAAUCCAUUGGAGUAGUCAAAUACAACAUUCCUUGUUUCCCCAGAGCGGACACAGGCAGGGGGAUGUUACUCCAGCCAGUAUAACUUCCUGUUUCACUGGUCUGGAGCAUCCAUCCCCUGCAUGUGACCCGGGAGAUGGGCUGACUCCAUAAAAGAGCCAAGUCCCGCAGCCAUCUCUCUCUCUUGAUGCCAUGCUGCUCUCCUGCAGCCAUUUUGUUCUCUUGAUGCUGUUCUCUUAAUGUAUUUUGCUGUCUGCUGGCUCUCAACCAGCCGCACAUGGGCUCAAUUCCCAUAAGGGAUGAACUCACACUAUGUUCUGUAGCUACUAGCUAAAGCCUGCCUUCAGGGAUCAUACUGUGAACUGAAUGUGAGUAAACUUCUAGUUACUUUUAAGGAAAGACUCUUAUGUAUUCUUUUAUGAGGGAUAAAAGGGGACACCAGGAAUAAUGCAAUCUGAUCAAGCCAGAUUGGAUUGCUUAACUAAAGAGAUUCAAACGAAUCUACAAACUAGCUUCCUGCUGAAUUGAGGGGAAUCUGCCCUGCUACAUGACUCACUAGCGUGAGUGAAGGAAGGAUAAUAUUUAAUCAUUCUCACACUUAUUUGCUCUUGCUUAUAUCUAAAUUGCAUUUUGUUUGUUAAUUAUUUGGUCAGUCACUUCCUGUCUCUCCGCCCGCAUUCUGGCAUUAGUUGCAUUUGGUUUGAGUCCCAUGUUAAAUAUCUAUAGGUCUGUGCACUUCUGAGUAAUAGUAUGGGUUCUUUCUUAGUAUUCUGGUAAGUAAUGAAAAGGUUACAGGCACCCCUUAAGAAGCCCCACCCCUCAAAAUCUAAAGGCUUCACCUUCUCAGAAGGAGGUGCUUCUAUGUUUGCAAAUUUCAUCCAGUUCUGCAAAAAAAGCUAUAGUUAUCUGAAGCUUCAGAGAACUAUUCCACCUCAGAUAAAAAGUGCUGUGGGUCUGUCCAAAGUGGUUCAAAGUGAGGCAUCCCCUAGGGAUGCGGAGGCCUCUCUGUGAGGCCUUAAUUCAUCCUUAGUACCUGGUAUCCAAUUGCCCAGGCAGGUGCAUUUUGUGACCCAUGAGAGCAGCAAAAUAACCAGACUGUACAAGGAUGGUGGGAUAAAAUCAGGCCAAAUCUUUACUGACAGCAGCAGGCAGGGGAAAUGUUUGGGGACAUCUGGUGCAUAUAUUUGGGGUAAUGUAAGUUGAGUGAUAACUGGCCAUUGUGUAUAUUCACCAGGCCCCCGUGAAUCUGAACAUAUAAUGAAAAUUGUGCUCAUUCCCUAAUCAAUAUACAUAAUGUACCACGGGCCUUGGGGAAUGUGCAUAUCUCCACUGAAAAUGUGGUUGUGAUAUACACAUUCCUCUGUUGUAAAUCAUGUACAUUGACUGGGAAAUGUGAACAAUUCUGUCUUCAUGGAUAGAUUGUCCACCCAGCCUCUAGAAGGCUUGGUGAAUGAACACAAUGGUGGGUUGUUAUGUACAUUAAUUGAUCUAGUUACAUUGCCUUUAACAUAUAUACCGAGGGAGGAUAUCUAGAUUGCGGCUAAUUUGGAAUGUUGGAAAUGUUGGAAAUGUAAAGAAACUGAAGGUACAUUCUUUCACCUUUGGUGGACGUGCCCAAAGAUUAAGGCUUUCUGGGAAAUGAUAUAUAAUGAAUUAAAAAAGGUAUUUAAGUAUACCUUCCCUAAGAAACCAGAGGCCUUUCUCCUGGGCAUAGCCGGCCAAAUGGUGUUAAAAAAGGAUAGAACUUUCUUUAUGUAUGCAACAACAGCAGCAAGAAUACUCAUCGCAAAGUAUUGGAAGACACAAGAACUUCCCACACUGGAGGAAUGGCAGAUGAAACUUAUGGACUAUAUGGAAUUGGCGGAAAUGACUGGUAGAAUCCGUGACCAGGGAGAAGAGUCGAUGGAGGAAGACUGGAAGAAAUUCAAAGACUAUCUUCAGAAACAUUGCAAAAUUAAGGAAUGUUAAAGGGAUGUUGGACUGAAAGUAAGUGGUUUCCAGCUGCACAGGUUAAAGUUAAUGAUAGAUUAAGAUUAAAGAUCAAGAUUAAAGAUGUUUAAAGAAAUGGAAAUUUGAUAUUAAAAGGGAAAAUUUUAACGUUAUAUGAUAUUAAGAUCAAGGAUUAGGUUUAAAAAGUUGAAGUUAUAUAUUUUAACAUUUUAUUAAAUUAAAGAUUGGGAUUAAAAAGUGGAAAAGAAACUGCUGGACAAAUAAUGUGGAUUGGAAUACAAAAGAGGGAGGUAUGAGGAAGUCCAGAAAAUAAGUAAUUUAAAAUUGGAAAUGGAAAAGAGAGUUUGUUUUUAAUUGUUAUGCUUUUUGUUUUUUAUUGUUGAGUUUUGUAUUUUUUUUGUGUGUGUUGUUUUUUUUCUUUUGUUGUUUAAAACUUU